GAUGAACGCUGGCGGCGUGCCUAAUACAUGCAAGUCGAGCGAAGCGGGGACGGGUGAGUAACACGUGGCUAACCUCCUCUAAGACUGGGAUAACUUCGGGAAACCGGAGCUCAAACGGCUACUUGUCGAUGGAUCCGCGCUGCAUUAGCUAGUUGGUAAGGUAACGGCUUACCAAGGCAACGAUGCAUAGCCGACCUGAGAGGUGGAUCGGCCACACUGGAACUGAGACACGGUCCAGACUCCUACGGGAGGCAGCAGUAGGGAAUCUUCCGCAAUGGGCGAAAGCCUGACGGAGCAACGCCGCGUGAGUGAUGAAGGCCUUCGGAUCGUAAAACUCUGUUAUUAGGGAAGCGGUACCUAAACAGAAAGCCACGGCUAACUACGUGCCAGCCGCCGCGGUAAUAC
rnacentral:rRNA from 1 species